ACCCGCUGAACUUAAGCAUAUCAAUAAGCGGAGGAAAAGAAACCAACAGGGAUUGCCUUAGUAACGGCGAGUGAAGCGGCAAUAGCUCAAAUUUGAAAGCUGGCGUCUUCGACGUCCGCGUUGUAAUUUGUAGAGGAUGCUUCGGCGAAGACUCCUGCCUAAGUCCCCUGGAACGGGGCGUCAUAGAGGGUGAGAAUCCCGUAUGUGGCGGGCAGUCUAAGCCAUGUGAAGCUCCUUCGACGAGUCGAGUUGUUUGGGAAUGCAGCUCUAAAUGGGAGGUAAAUUUCUUCUAAAGCUAAAUAUUGGCCAGAGACCGAUAGCGCACAAGUAGAGUGAUCGAAAGAUGAAAAGCACUUUGGAAAGAGAGUUAAAAAGUACGUGAAAUUGUUGAAAGGGAAGCGCUUGCAACCAGACUCGCUCGUAGUUGCUCAGCCGGCCUCUUGGCCGGUGUACUCUUCUACGAUCGGGCCAGCAUCAGUUCGGGCGGCAGGAUAAAGGUGUCGGGAAUGUAGCACCCUUCGGGGUGUGUUAUAGCCCGGCGCGGAAUGCUGCCAGCCUGGACUGAGGAUCUCGCUUCGGCAAGGAUGCUGGCGUAAUGGUUGUAAGCGGCCCGUCUUGAAACACGGACCAAGGAGUCUAACAUCUAUGCGAGUGUUUGGGUGUCAAACCCAUGCGCGUAAUGAAAGUGAACGGAGGUGGGAACCCCUCACGGGGUGCACCAUCGACCGAUCCUGAUGUCUUCGGAUGGAUUUGAGUAAGAGCAUAGCUGUUGGGACCCGAAAGAUGGUGAACUAUGCCUGAAUAGGGUGAAGCCAGAGGAAACUCUGGUGGAGGCUCGCAGCGGUUCUGACGUGCAAAUCGAUCGUCAAAUUUGGGUAUAGGGGCGAAAGACUAAUCGAACCAUCUAGUAGCUGGUUCCUGCCGAAGUUUCCCUCAGGA
rnacentral:rRNA from 1 species